GUGGGGAAUCUUCCGCAAUGGACGAAAGUCUGACGGAGCAACGCCGCGUGAGUGAUGAAGGUCUUCGGAUUGUAAAGCUCUGUUAAUCGGGACGAAAGAGCCUAGUGUGAAUAAUGCUAGGAAGUGACGGUACCGGAAUAGAAAGCCACGGCUAACUACGUGCCAGCAGCCGCGGUAAUACGUAGGUGGCAAGCGUUGUCCGGAAUUAUUGGGCGUAAAGCGCGCGCAGGCGGAUCUGCCAGUCUGUCUUAAAAGUUCGGGGCUUAACCCCGUGAUGGGAUGGAGACUACAGAUCUAGAGUAUCGGAGAGGAAAGUGGAAUUCCUAGGGUAGCGGUGAAAUGCAUAGAGAUUUGGAAGAACACCAGUGGCGAAGGCGACUUUCUGGACGAUGUCUGACGCUGAGGCGCGAAAGCUAGGGGAGCGAACGGGAUUAGAAACCCUAGUAGUCC
rnacentral:rRNA from 1 species